UUUGUUCUGAAAACCCUUCCUCCCCAACCCCCAGCUUCUAUACUUGCUGCAAUGGAAUUAAAUCCAAACUCCUUUCUUAGGAGGGUCAUCUAAGUGCUUCAGUACAAGUGAAUAUGAAACUUAAUGAAGAAUAGUCUUGUGAACUGCAUCUUUAGAGGAAUGACUGGUUAGGAGCAUCAAAACACUGAACACUUACAUGGGCUCUGGAGAAGAUCAAUGCAGCUGGAAUUGAAUACAAGAAAACAUGGUUGUUUCGGAGAGGAUUACUCACAAACUGAGUCAUUGGCUCAAGAUAGAAGAAUGAUCAACCAGCUGCUCUUGUGUAUUUUUAAAUAAGAGUGAUAAUGUGGAUUGAUAAUGCUCUGUUCAAUCACCGGGACUUUUGCUCUCUCCACCAACUGUAAGUUGUGCAGAAAAAUCUGUGAUACCCAUGGACAUUCU
rnacentral:lncRNA from 1 species